rnacentral:rRNA from 1 species
GAUCAUGGCUCAAAUUGAACGCUGGCGGCAUGCCUUACACAUGCAAGUCGAACGGUAACAGGUCUUCGGACGCUGACGAGUGGCGAACGGGUGAGUAAUACAUCGGAACGUGCCCAGUCGUGGGGGAUAACUACUCGAAAGAGUAGCUAAUACCGCAUACGAUCUGAGGAUGAAAGCGGGGGGACCUUCGGGCCUCGCGCGAUUGGAGCGGCCGAUGGCAGAUUAGGUAGUUGGUGGGAUAAAG